rnacentral:rRNA from 1 species
GAUGAACGCUGGCGGCGUGCCUAAUACAUGCAAGUCGAGCGAACAGAUGAGGAGCUUGCUCCUCUGACGUUAGCGGCGGACGGGUGAGUAACACGUGGAUAACCUACCUAUAAGACUGGGAUAACUUCGGGAAACCGGAGCUAAUACCGGAUAAUAUAUUGAACCGCAUGGGUCAAUAGUGAAAGACGGUUUUGAUGUCACUUAUAGAUGGAUCCGCGCCGCAUUAGCUAGUUGGUAAGGUAACGGCUUACCAAGGCAACGAUGCGUAGCCGACCUGGGAGGGUGAUCGGCCACACUGGAACUGUGACCCGGUCCAGACUCCUACGGGAGGCCGCAGUAGGGAAUCUUCCGCAAUGGGCGAAAGCCUGACGGAGCAACGCCGCGUGAGUGAUGAAGGUCUUCGGAUCGUAAAACUCUGUUAUUAGGGAAGAACAAAUGUGUAAGUAACUAUGCACGUCUUGACGGUACCUAAUCAGAAAGCCACGGCUAACUACGUG